GCACCUAUAGCUCAGCAGGAUAGAGCAACGGUUUCCUAAACCGUGUGCCGGGGGUUCGAAUCCCUCUAGGUGCACCA
rnacentral:tRNA from 1 species